UGUCUACCUCUGGCUAGCAGAAGAAACUGACUGGUGUAUCACAGAGAUAGCUAAGUAAUGAAGAACAAGAUGAACUGAGUGGAAUGAACAGCUGUUACAAAUGGAGAAACUAUCAAAGAGCAGUCUAAUUGAAGAGCAGUGUAGUGUAGCAGUCAAGAGCACGGAUCUGAAAUCAGACCAGCCUGGAUUUAAGUUUUGGCUCUACCAUUACCCAGAUGUUUCAUCUUUCUCCAAGUUACACACUCUCAGCCUCAGUUUUUUCACUCAUAAACAAGCAUAUAAGGAUAAUAACCUGCCUCAGGUUGUAAGGAUUAAAGGGAACUUACAUAAAACCUAUAAUGAAUCUGACUCACUAGGCUCUUAAUAAAUAGUAGCUCCUCUUAUAAGCAGAACAGGGCCAAGUAGUAAUUACAACUGAGAAGAGAAAAUGCUGUUCAAAGCAAGAUGAAAAAGGUGAGUAAAGUCCCUUAGAGAGCUCAGCCCAACAGGAUUUGAGAUUCUCAUUCAUUCAUACCCUCUCUCCUUCCCUCCCUUCUCAUUUUUCUGCUUCAACUACUUCCCUCUUUUCCUCUCUCUCUACCCACCAAAUAUUAUGCUAGACUCCACAUGCAGCAUGUCAUUUUAUCCACCUUGAGCUUGCUUUUGCCCUGCUCUUCUCGCUGUGGAAUUCUCUUCCUCCUGUCCCUCCCUUCACCCCUGCUUCCUACUCUGAGCUUCCUUCUCCAAGUUUGCUCCUUCUUUCCAUCAGGUGUCACUUUAUCACCACCUCCUCAAAGAGGCCAUGUUCAUGUCCAGGCCCAUAAUCUCAAGUAGCCAUCCUGUGAUUCUGUAUCAUAUUAUCCUUUUUAAACUCUGUGCAACACUUACUACCUCUGAUGUUUGUCUUCUUUAAGGAUUUGAUUGCCUCAUGUGACAAGCCCAAGAUCUGUGACAGUUGGAGCUCAAACUAGGCAGUCUUGAUUCCAGACUCCUCUAAACUAGUAUUUCAAGGAACUAAUGCCCAUGACAUGUUAAAUGGAAGUUUGGGGACUUACACUCAGGAUGGAAGCAGGGGGACACAGCAGAAAUGAAAGAAUUUUCUGUGGAUCUGAGAUCUGGACACCUGCCCCCCUCAUGCACCCUCAGUCAUCACAAUCAUUAGACUGGACGUCUGUCUCCAUGAAGAAUAUGUGAAUACCUCCGAAUAUACUUCCUGAAGGAGCUGCCAAACUGUUUCCAGCAAUGGCAAAACAUAGAAUGAAUCCAAGCCAUUUGACGGAUACUCACUGAAGACCUAUUCUAUGCCAAGCACUGUGCCAGGCAGAGGGAAAGCCCUCAUAUCGGACAGAGCUGGUCUUCUCCAGUAGAUCUUGUGAGACUUAUUGGCUCUCAUUCUCUCUUGCCACUGCCAUAUGGCCCCGCCUCUCCUGGACUUCCAUCUGUCAUCAGGAGAACAUGACCAUCUGGAGUCAGUACAGAUCAUCAAUCCUUCCACAUACACAAGU